GCUGGUGUAUGUGAUGACCAAACUUUUUUCCCCAUCAGAGCGACAGUGUUGAUUUCUCACCACUCUAGCCAGAUCCUGUCUGAUGCACCAGC
ensembl:snoRNA